AAAGCUAAUACUGGCAAGUCGACGAGAAGACCUUCGGGUCUCUAGUGGCGAACGGGUGAGUAACACGUAGGGAACCUGCCCGCGCACCGGGAAUACGCUCUGGAAACGGAGAACAAAUCCCGAUGUACAGGAAGGAGGCAUCUUCUUUCUGUGAAACAUCCUCUAGGGGAUGGGGCGCGGAUGGACCUGCGGUGCAUUAGUUGGUUGGCGGGGUAAAGGCCCACCAAGACGAUGAUGCAUAGCCGGCCUGAGAGGGCGGACGGCCACAUUGGGACUGAGACACGGCCCAGACUCCUGCGGGAGGCAGCAGUAGGGAAUUUUCGUCAAUGGGCGCAAGCCUGAACGAGCGAUGCCGCGUGAGUGAAGAAGGCCUUCGGGUCGUAAAGCUCUGUUGCGGGGGAAAAAAGGCAGCAUCAGGAAAUGGGUGCUGACUGAUGGUGCCCCGCCAGAAAGUCACGGCUAACUACGUGCCAGCAGCCGCGGUAAUACGUAGGUGGCGAGCGUUAUCCGGAAUGAUUGGGCGUAAAGGGUGCGCAGGCGGCCCUGCAAGUCUGGAGUGAAACGCAUGAGCUCAACUCAUGCAUGGCUUUGGAAACUGGAGGACUGGAGAGCAGGAGAGGGCGGUGGAACUCCAUGUGUAGCGGUAAAAUGCGUAGAUAUAUGGAAGAACACCAGUGGCGAAGGCGGCCGCCUGGCCUGUUGCUGACGCUGAGGCACGAAAGCGUGGGGAGCAAAUAGGAUUAGAUACCC
rnacentral:rRNA from 1 species